rnacentral:rRNA from 1 species
CCUACGGGGGGCAGCAGUGGGGAAUAUUGCGCAAUGGGGGCAACCCUGACGCAGCAACGCCGCGUGCAGGAAGAAGGUCUUCGGAUUGUAAACUGUUGUCGCAGGGGAAGAAGACAGUGACGGUACCCUGUGAGAAAGUGACGGCUAACUACGUGCCGGCAGCCGCGGUAAUACGUAGGGGGCAAGCGUUAUCCGGAUUUACUGGGUGUAAAGGGUGCGUAGGUGGCAGGGCAAGUCAGAUGUGAAAGCCCGGGGCUCAACCCCGGUACUGCAUUUGAAACUGUCCAGCUGGAGUGCAGGAGAGG